CAGCUAUCUUCUGCCCAUUAAAUCCGUAAAGGUUUGGGGGAGUGGGGAUUCCUGGAGGAAGCUCGCGCGGGGCGGGACCGUGGGGCUGAGGCGGCUCCUGGGCCCGGCCCCGCCCAGUCUCCGCCUCAACCGGGAUCCAUCCGCCCUCCGAACGCCACACAGGCCCGCCUCUGAGUAGAGACCGGCAGGUCCUCGCGCGUCCUGUAGAUACAGUCCAGCGUCACAGGGCAAUGGCAAGAAAAGCUGUUAUUGCUCAGUGGCUUCUGAAGCUAUCUCCCUCCUAGAACAGGCUCUCCUAAAACCGGGCCUCCUGUGGAUGUCCUCAGCCCGGAGAGGCAGCGGAAGACCAGACUUAACGCUUUUACAUGACCCCAACAGUCGUCUUUUGCAGAAAGGACUUUCUGUAUUGGUGCGAUGUAAUUCUGUUUCUGUUUUUUUUUUUUUUAAAUGUGCUUAUUUUUGCCUGAGAACUAUUAAGUUCCGUGUAGGCGGAGUCCUUACCCCCCCUCCUCCCCACGAGGUUCCUUGCCCAACCAGCGACCAGUGAAGUUGACCGAGGCAGAUUGCAAGGUGUUUUGGUGGUUCUGGCAGGAGAGCCUUCUGGUAUUGCAGGAAUGUGACUCAUAUCUAAAUCCCCUUGCCUUAGACAUCGCAGAUAACAAAUGCACCCAAUGUCAAGGAAGUGGCUUCUGCUCCAUCCAGCUGAUUGCUGUUGUGAGAAUACCCGCCCCAAGUUGACAUACUGUUUUUCCCCCUAAAGGAAUCAAAACCCGAAUUUUAAAAAAUGUAAAAUUUCCAGAUUUUUAGAUCUUGGCAACUAAAUCAGAUGUUUUAAAACUUCAUGACUGAUUCAACCACAAGUGUGGGCUUGGACCCAUGACUUGGAGGAAAGAGAGAAGUUCAAAGACCAAGUUCUGGGGCACUCCUACAUUAGAGAGAGGCUAAUGGAGAAAGAAGUUGAUAGGAAGCAACCAGAAAGACAGAGAUCUAGAGUGUUGAGUUGUGGAGUCCAAGGGCAGAAAUGGUUUCACACAUAGCAGAAGCAGCAGCAUCUGUCCAGUGCUGCUGAGAGUUCUGGUUAACUUGGGCCAGAGGCAUGGCUAUUAAAUUGGUUACCUUGAUGGUCGCUGGAGAAUCAUUGGUACCUUGGGCUGAGUCACAUUGGGUCAAUUGAGGAUAUCAACUGACUAGUAUGGGUUGAUGAUUGAACAGAAAAGUGAAGGAUUAAGAGACAUCACCUGUAGGCAACUUGAGAGACAUUUUCUGUGAAGCAAGCAGAAAAAUUUAGGGAUCACUGUAGAAACAUGAGGUCAAGGGAAAGGAUUUUGUUUGUUUGGGUUUGUUUGUGGGUGCUGGGGAUCCAACCCAGUGCCUUGCACAUGCUUAGACUAGUGCUCUACCACUGAGCUCCACCUCCAGCCCACAGGAAAUGUUUUAAAAGAUGGUAGGGGCUGGUUGGGAGGGGUACACACCUGUACUCUCAGUGACUUGGUAUGAAGAGCUUAAGUUCUAGGCCAAGCUGGGUGUGGUAGUGCAUGUAAUCCCAGCAGCUUUGGAGUCUGAGGCAGAAUUGCAAGUUCAAAACAAGCCUCAGCAAUUUAGCAAGGCCCUAAGCAACUUAUUGAGACCUUGUCUCUAAAUAAAAUACAAAAAAAGGAUGGGGAUGUUGCUCAGUGGUUAAGCACCCCUGGGUUUAAUCCCCAGUACCAAAAGUGUGUGUGGGUAGCGGAGGCGACAAUAUGUUCUAGGCCAGUCUCAGCAAUUUUGCAAGGCCUUAAACAACUUAGUGAGACCCUGUCUCAAAAUAAAAAAUAAGGGCUAUGGAUGGAUGAAGCUCAGUGGUAAAGUGCUCCUGGAUUCAAUCCCCAGUACCAAAAAAAGAAGAGAUGGGACCGGGUUCUUGAGCAUGUUUAUUCAUUAUUGGAAGUGCUACAGUGGACAAGAAGGUAGAGUAAUACAGGAGAGAUCUGUGCUUGACCUACAGAAGACUGAAAUCUAUUGGAGGAUUUUAAGGAACAGGGAGAAUUGGCCUUGGAUAGGAACAGGGAUGUUUCCACUGAUAAUAAGGGUAACCAAAGUAAAGAUGGUUGCAAAUGCAGGGGAAGUGUAAAGCAAGUCUUUGAUAGGACUUCCUUAGUGGUAUUGGGUACCAAUUUAAGUUUUGUGAUUGUGAGUUUAAAAAGUUAAAACAGG
rnacentral:lncRNA from 1 species